UUUGUGUUGUGGUUGUGCUGUGCUCUCAUAUUCUCUUUACGAAUUAUGAAGUGAAGUAUGUUAUGUGCUAAAAACGGUGGUCCGCUUGUAUGUUUAUCUAAAAAUUGUUAAAUAAUUAGUCAAGGUAAAAGUAGUGGCAAGUUGCAGUUGACACGAUGGAUGAAGACAUUGAUAUUGAAGAACAUGAUUUACUAGAUAACCCUUUAAUAAAGUCAAUAUUUCCUGACAUAUCUGUCAUUAAAAAAGAAAUCGAAUGUUAUUAUAAUGCAGGGACAGCCAAUUCAACUAUUAAUGUUGACACACAAGUCUGUAGUACUUGUCCUCAAGAUCCUACCAUUGACAGUACAACACGGACCUCAGAAGUACCAGCAAGGUCACUUGACCCAUUUCAAGAUGGUGUGGACUCUGUAGAGAUAAAGGGAGAAGUGACAGUUGAUUUCACUGCUGCACCUGAUCACAUUGAAAAGUUUCAUAACAACAAGAUAAUAGUAGGGACAAAUCCAACCAAGGGUGUUUUUAAUCAAGAACUAUUGUCCCUAGUUGAAGCGAAAGUGUUAUUACACAAUAUCUAUUCAUAUUUAGAAAACAGUGGCCGAUAUUGUCAUCAAUGUUUAAUAUUGUUUCCUAAUAAAAUCACAUUUGUAUCUCACAGAAAAUUAGUCCACACUAAAGCGUGUUAUCAAAGUAAAUGCUACAUAUGUAGUAAAAAAUUCAAUUACAGUGAUAUGCAAUGUCAUUUAACACAUGUUCAUCAAAUCAAAAUUAAUACACAAAUAAAAUUAAAGAAAACACACAAUUCACACAAGGAAAAAGCUUUAUUACAGAAAAGGAACA